rnacentral:rRNA from 1 species
CGUAGGAUCCGAGCGUUAUCCGGAGUGACUGGGCGUAAAGAGUUGCGUAGGUGGUUCGAUAAGCGAAUAGUGAAAUCUGGUGGCUCAACCAUUCAGACUAUUAUUCGAACUGUUGAACUCGAGAGCAGAAGAGGUAGCUGGAAUUUCUAGUGUAGGAGUGAAAAUCCGUAGAUAUUAGAAGGAACACCGAUGGCGUAGGCAGGCUACUGGGCUGUUUCUGACACUGAGGCACGAAAGCGUGGGGAGCGAACCGGAUU